UCUCUCUCUUUCACUACAUGAAUUGAAGAAGCAACAUCUGUUUAGCCAAAGAUGCUUCCAGCCAAGAGAGGACAAAGGGACUGUCUCCUUAUGAGAUAGUGUCCAGGUGUAUGUUACUUUUCUAAGCUAAGUCUGCCUUCUGGGAUCCGAUUGCGAACAGAAUGAGUAAUAGCCAGUGUCUCCCACCGAAACCUCAUGGAAGACCAGGAUGCGGGCGCUGCCUUCCUUGAUCCAGAUGUUAUUCUUGUACCAGCUGUAGUGGAUCUCCUGCUUGUCUUCUCCAGGGACGUCGCAGGUCAGCGUGACCGUCUCCCCUUCCCUGACACUGGAAGAAGGGCUGGUGGACAGCACAGCAG